rnacentral:rRNA from 1 species
UACGGAGGGGGCCAGCGCUAUCCGGAAUCAGUGGGUGUAAAGGGCGAGUAGGCGGACGGGCAAGUCAGGGGUGAAAUCCCACGGCUCAACCCAGGCACUGCCUCUGAAACUGUACAGCUCGAGGCCGGGAGAGGGUAGUGGAAUUCCCAGUGUAGCGGUGAAAUGCGUAGAUAUUAGGAGGAACACCAGUGGCGAAGGAGGCUACCGGGACCGUUUCUGACGCUGAGGCGCGAAAGCGUGGGGAGCAAACAGG